UACGGAGGAUCCAAGCGUUAUCCGGAUUUAUUGGGUUUAAAGGGUGCGUAGGCGGCCUAGUUAAGUCAGAGGUGAAAGACGGUAGCUCAACUAUCGCAGUGCCCUUUGAUACUGAUGGGCUUGAAUGAACUAGAGGUAGGCGGAAUGAGACAAGUAGCGGUGAAAUGCAUAGAUAUGAUCUCAGAACACCGAUUGCGAAGGCAGCUUACUAUGGUUUAUUGACGCUGAGGCACGAAAGCGUGGGGAUCAAACAGG
rnacentral:rRNA from 1 species